UCAUGUUCUUCAACCAAUCAGAUUUCGAGUUUUCCAUGUUGGGCGCAUUCGUUGACACGCCGAAGCUACGUCGGCAUUUUUCGUGUGGCGUCCGAGCGGACCCGAGUAGGACCGAGCGGACCCGAGGCGUUCCGAAGUAAUACUAGCUAGCUAGCACGUGACGUAGCACUAUGCCAAGUACAAGUUCUGGGGUUUAUUUAAACUUUUACGUUUAUACUUAGCUCUGUUUUACAGUGUUUUUUUAUGGUAGUCAUUGAACUCUAGAAAGGAGGAUGGCCUUGUCUUGAAUUGAGGAGCAGCUUUGGUCAACUAGAGGAGAGGGCGCCCCCAUAUGACUGAUCAGUGAAUGUUUCGGUCAAUUUCAGUCAUAGCUGGCACUGUUCUUCUGCAGGAUGCGUCAAGUCCUAUAGCACUAAUGUGUGCCAGCUUGUACUUAACUAUGUCUCUGCAUCAGUGAAAUUGUCCUAAGCCUCUAAUAAAGCGGUCCACGGAUGACUGGUGGCCUCAGCUGACUGCCUCCAACAAUUACCAGUGUGUGGGAAAGCCUAGCAACAGAGGGUCAGACCUUGUCAAUCAAAACACAAGGACCGACUAAUGGAUGAGCCCCACUGUGGAUUCUUGGGGUUGGAGUUGACACACGCUGGAUGGAUUUUGACUUCUUGACACCUCAGAAUGGCUUUAGGGACCCGGCUCUCCAUCCUCCCGCCUGACUGUGCUGCUCCAAAUUGGGCACGGGGCCCAAACUCUGCGAGCAGCUUCACCCGCCUCUCCACCUCGCUGCCCUUUGCCAUUGCUAUCGCGCCGUAUAAGAACCAGACCUUCUCGGACUGCACUUAGCUCAGAGGCUAACACUAACCAGCCACAGAUGUUUACAUUGGGAGAGAAGGGGCAGCAGAUGCGGUCUCACUCAAUAAAACUUGCAUAUCUCC